rnacentral:rRNA from 1 species
AGUGAACGCUGGCGGUAGGCCUAACACAUGCAAGUCGAACGGCAGCACAGUAAGAGCUUGCUCUUACGGGUGGCGAGUGGCGGACGGAUGAGGAAUACAUCGGAAUCUACUUUUUCGUGGGGGAUAACGUAGGGAGACUUACGCUAAUACCGCAUACGACCUACGGGUGAAAGCAGGGGAUCUUCGGACCUUGCGCGAUUGAAUGAGCCGAUGUCGGAUUAGCUAGUUGGCGGGGUAAAGGCCCACCAAGGCGACGAUCCGUAGCUGGUCUGAGAGGAUGAUCAGCCACACUGGAACUGAGACACGGUCCAGACUCCUACGGGAGGCAGCAGUGGGGAAUAUUGGACAAUGGGCGCAAGCCUGAUCCAGCCAUACCGCGUGGGUGAAGAAGGCCUUCGGGUUGUAAAGCCCUUUUGUUGGGAAAGAAAAGCAGCAGGUUAAUACCCCGCUGUUCUGACGGUACCCAAAGAAUAAGUACCGGCUAACUUCGUG